UCCUCCCUCCCGUUUCCCGUUCCGGAGCCGGUGCUCCGCUCACUUGUCUCCGGGCUGAUUGGCGCCGGGCGCGCGGGCUUUCACUCUCGAGGCUUGGGGGAGACUCCGGAUGAGCCAUGUCUUUCCAUUCUGGACGAGGAUGUCCCCGGGGCCAAGGAGGACCUGGAGUUAGAAAUUCAACACAAACCUUCAGACCUCAGAACCUGCGGCAGCUUCACCCUCAGCAGCCUUCAGUGCAGUAUCAAUAUGACCAGCAAGCCACCCCUCCAACUACCUAUUCUAACCCUCCAACCACAGGAUACAUGCCUCCUAGGUUGGAUUUUGUACCUUAUCCUCCCCCAGUGCCCCCAUCAGCACAGAGUCCAAUCAGCCAGUGUCCCAUGAGGCCACCUUUUCCAAACCAUCAAGUGAGGCAAAGUUUUCCAGUCCCUCCUUGUUUUCCUCCUGCUCCUCCGCCAGUGCCAAAUCCCAGCAAUGCCCCAGUGCCUGGAGCCCCCACUGGACAAAAUGCAUUUCCUUACCUGAUGCCACCUCCUGCAGUGCCACAUCCUCCACCACCACCGGUCAUGCCACAACAAGUUAAUUAUCAACCCGUCUACUCUACAGGCUACUCGCAGCAGUCCUUCCCACCUCCUAACUUUAAUAGCUAUCAACAUAACUCUAACACUUUCCAGAGCAGUAGCAGCAACAAUAGCAGCAGUAGUGGUAGCAGCCAUUUCCGGCACACAAGUCAGUACCAGGGAGAUAAAUCCCAGAGUGAACGAAGGUCCCCAGAAAGGAGUAAGCACUAUGAUGAGCACCGGCACCGGGAACAUGGGCAUGUCCAUGGAGACAGACAUCGGUCCAACAACCACGGGGAUCGGCGGGAUCGAGGCAGGAGUCCUGAUCGGCGAAGACAAGAAAGCAGUCGGCAUAGGCCUGAUUAUGACAGGGGAAGGACGCCACCUCGCCACAGAAGUUAUGAACGUAGCAGGGAACGGGAAAGGGAAAGGCAUAGGCAUCGGGAUAGCCGAAGAUCACCAUCUCCAGAGAGGUCCUACAAGAAAGAUUAUAAAAGAACAGGGAGCCGAUCCCCCAGCCGAGAGAGAAAGAGACCUCGUUGGGAGGAGGACAGAGAGAGGUGGUCAGAAAGCCAGAGUGCUAGUAAAGAGAAGAGUUACACCAGUAUCAAAGACAAAGAACCAGAGGAAAAUAUUUCAGAAAAAAAUGAGGAGGAAGAUGAUGAAUUGCUCAAGCCUGUCUGGGUUCGUUGUACCCAUUCAGAAAACUACUAUUCAAGUGACCCGAUGGAUCAAGUGGGGGACUCCACUGUGGUUGGAACAAGCAAACUCCGAGAUUUGUAUGAAAGGUUUGAGGAGGAGUUAGGAAAGCGACAGGCAAAAGCCAAAGCAGCCAGGCCACCAUGGGAGCCACCAAAGACCAAACUAGAUGAAGAUUUGGAGAGCUCCAGUGACUCAGACUGUGACUCUGAAGAUGACAGCAGCUGUUCCAGCAGCUCAGAUUCUGAAGUUUUUGAUGUCAUCGCAGAAAUUAAGCGCAAAAAAGCUCACCCAGAUCGUCUUCACGAGGAGCUGUGGUACAAUGAUCCUGGACAGAUGAAUGAUGGACCACUAUGUAAGUGUAGUGCAAAAGCCCGACGAACAGGAAUAAGACACGGCAUUUAUCCUGGUGAAGAGCCUAUUAAACCAUGUCGCCCUAUGACCAACAAUGCUGGAAGACUGUAUCACUACCGCAUUACUGUGUCACCACCCACAAAUUUCUUAACUGAUCGACCAACUGUUAUAGAAUAUGAUGACCAUGAAUAUAUUUUUGAAGGAUUUUCUAUGUUUGCACAUGCCCCACUAACAAAUAUUCCUCUAUGUAAAGUAAUCAGAUUUAACAUUGACUAUACAAUUCAUUUCAUUGAAGAGAUGAUGCCUGAGAAUUUUUGUGUGAGAGGACUUGAAUUAUUUUCCUCGUACCUGUUCAAAGAUAUUUUGGAACUCUAUGACUGGAAUCUUAAAGGUCCUUCACUUGAAAAUGAUUCUUCUUGCUGUCCAAGAUUUCAUUUCAUGCCACGUUUUGUGAGAUUUCUGCCAGAUGGAGGCAAAGAAGUGCUGUCAAUGCAUCAGAUUCUACUUUAUUUGUUACGCUGCAACAAAGCUUUGGUCCCUGAAGAGGAGAUUGCCAACAUGCUUCAGUGGGAAGAACUUGAAUGGCAGAAGUAUGCAGAGGAAUGCAAAGGAAUGAUAGUUACCAGCCCUGGCAUGAAACCCAGCUCUGUUCGUAUUGAUCAGUUGGACCGUGAGCAGUUCAAUCCAGAUGUGAUUACUUUUCCUAUUAUUGUUCACUUUGGGAUACGACCUGCUCAACUCAGUUAUGCUGGAGACCCUCAGUACCAAAAACUAUGGAAGAGUUAUGUGAAGCUGCGUCAUUUGCUUGCUAAUAGCCCCAAAGUCAAACAGGCUGAUAAACAGAAAUUGUCACAGAGAGAGGAAGCACUGCAAAAAAUCAGGCAGAAAAACACAAUGAGACGAGAAGUGACUGUGGAGCUGAGCAGCCAAGGAUUCUGGAAAACUGGCAUUCGUUCUGAUGUCUGCCAGCAUGCAAUGAUGCUUCCUGUCCUUACCCACCAUAUUCGCUAUCAUCAAUGUCUGAUGCAUUUGGACAAAUUGAUAGGAUACACAUUUCGAGAUCGUUGCUUGCUACAGCUUGCCAUGACUCACCCAAGCCAUCACUUAAACUUUGGAAUGAAUCCAGACCAUGCAAGAAAUUCGUUAUCCAACUGUGGAAUUCGACAGCCCAAGUAUGGAGACCGAAAAGUCCAUCACAUGCACAUGAGAAAAAAAGGAAUAAAUACCUUGAUAAAUAUUAUGUCACGUCUUGGGCAAGAUGACCCAGCCCCUUCUAGGAUUAACCACAACGAGCGUCUAGAAUUUCUGGGAGAUGCUGUAGUAGAAUUCUUAACGAGUGUUCAUCUGUACUAUCUGUUUCCAACUCUAGAGGAAGGAGGACUAGCUACGUAUCGCACUGCCAUCGUUCAGAAUCAGCAUCUUGCUAUGUUGGCUAAGAAGCUGGAACUGGACCGGUUUAUGCUUUAUGCUCAUGGACCUGACCUUUGCAGGGAAUCAGACCUCCGCCACGCAAUGGCAAACUGUUUUGAAGCCUUGAUAGGUGCUGUUUACCUAGAAGGAAGCCUAGAAGAAGCCAAACAAUUAUUUGGGCGUUUACUGUUUAAUGAUAAGGACCUGCGGGAUGUAUGGCUUAAUUAUCCUCUACACCCACUCCAACUGCAAGAAUCCAACACUGACCGACAGCUCAUUGAGACAUCUCCAGUUCUCCAGAAACUAACAGAGUUUGAGGAAGCAAUUGGAGUUAUUUUUACUCAUGUUCGGCUUCUAGCACGUGCCUUCACCUUGAGAACUGUGGGGUUUAACCAUCUGACUCUAGGCCACAAUCAGAGGAUGGAAUUCCUGGGUGACUCCAUAAUGCAAUUGGUAGCCACAGAGUACUUAUUCAUACAUUUCCCUGAUCAUCAUGAAGGGCACUUAACGCUGUUGCGAAGCUCCUUGGUGAACAACAGGACACAGGCUAAAGUAGCAGAAGAGCUGGGUAUGCAGGAAUUUGCCAUCACUAAUGACAAGACCAAGAGGCCUGUGGCUCUUCGGACUAAGACUUUGGCCGAUCUCUUGGAAUCCUUUAUUGCUGCACUUUACAUUGAUAAGGAUUUGGAAUAUGUUCAUACUUUCAUGAACGUGUGCUUUUUUCCACGGUUAAAGGAGUUCAUUUUAAAUCAGGAUUGGAAUGACCCAAAAUCCCAGCUUCAGCAAUGCUGCCUCACUCUCAGAACAGAAGGAAAAGAGCCAGAUAUUCCUUUAUACAAGACUCUGCAGACAGUGGGACCUUCUCAUGCCAGGACAUACACGGUGGCUGUUUAUUUCAAAGGAGAACGAAUAGGAUGUGGUAAAGGCCCAAGUAUUCAACAAGCAGAAAUGGGAGCUGCAAUGGAUGCACUUGAAAAAUAUAACUUUCCCCAGAUGGCCCAUCAGAAACGGUUCAUUGAACGGAAAUACAGACAAGAGUUGAAAGAAAUGAGGUGGGAAAGAGAGCAUCAAGAGAAAGAGCCAGAUGAGACCGAAGAAGCCAGGAAAUAAAAGGAAGGCACGGAAGCGGUGGCAUAUUUACUUACUUAAUAACUCUGACUGUGGCCUAUGGAGACCUAACCUAGUUUCAUGCAGAUGAUGAAUGAAGUGCACCUGUUGACAUCAAAUACAUAAUCAUAAUCUCUCUUUUAGCAAAAAAGGAAAAGAAAAAAAAAAUGUGUUUCUUUUGUUAGUGGUACCAUGUGAGGGUGUUGGUUUUUAUUUCAUACGCUCUUUUAAAAGUCAUUUUAGUUUUUAUGAAAUGUUAUGGGGAAAUUUUUGUUGUUUUUAAUUGUCUUCUACGAACCAAUAAAGUGUUUAAUUUCAGAACCUCUACAAGAAGAAAAAACGAGUUUAUCUGGUGUUUCCUGUAUUUAAAUGCAACUGUGCCAAAGACCUGCAACUUGAUUACAAUGUCUUAGUGCUGCAGGAGAAAAAGGACUUACAACACCAGAUCAACAGAAUGCUGAAGCAGAGGCUUUAAGCGUACAGUAAUAUAUAUGUUUAAUUAUUCUGCUGAAUCGGGGCCUUGAUAGGCUCUUUGUCCUUCAACAGUAACUUCCUCAUAAUAAUAUUCAGUCUUUAGACUGUUGUUUGAAACAAUGUACCUGAGACUCUAGAAAUAUUUAGGGAGUGAUAAUAGCUGCAUGUGAAAAGUUGUUGUUUGAAAGCCAUUGUUGUAAAGAUUCUGUGAGGAAAACAUGAUAAUUAUGAAGCAGAGAAUUGCUUGCCUUUUUGUACAAUCUGAGCCUAGUUACACCUACAAAGUUAAUCUUAUUCCUUGUUUCCCAUUCUAGCAAAAAUUUUAUUGCUUCUAUUUUGCGAGAAAAAUGCAGUGUGGCACACUGCAGAUUAUAUUUUGCUAUCAAAUUGUGUACAUCUGCAGCUUGUGUGCAAAUUUGAGAGUGUUUGAGGAUAACACAUUGGGUUGAGAAAACACAUCUGAUAUAGCAAUGCAAGUCUCAUACAAGGAACCCUCACAAGUGUAUAUUUUUAAGGGAAGUUUCUUUCAGAUGAUUCACCCAGGUUUUAAAGGUAUUCUGUAAUGUUGAUUUAUCAGGUGUCUGAAGUACUUCGAAAGCCUAUGACAAGAAUUCCCAAGAGCACAUUGUCAGAAUGAAAUGAACAACAGGGUAGCAGAAAAAUUCAAGCUAUACAACCUGCACCACACAAUUGCAUUUCUGAGCCACCUAAAUUAAAGCCUAUAUGCACAAAAAGACAUGAUUCUGAAACUACAGCAUGAGAUGUGAAGUUAGAAACAUUGCUCUUUCACUGUUUCCUGUUGUGUAAUUUCUUUUUUAUUUAUGGAUCGGCGUGUUAAAUACAUUUCAGAACCUAAGGAAACACAUUAAUUCGUAGGAAUAGGGAGAAAAAAUAUGAAUCAAGGAGAUGAUCUGUAUUGAAUGCUACUGUAGUUCAUCUUUGAGAAGUUUGGACACCCCUGCCCUAGGGAUUGGCUCAAUUGAGAACUGCAUCUUAUUUUUCAUGUAUGUAUACACUAUGCAUGUUGUAAUAGCACAACACACAAGAGUCCUAUUUCCUUUGGUUCCAGACCCCCACCAUGUAACUGAACAGGUUUUCGGUAACAGCAGUCAGUGGCCAGCGAUGUAUGUUGAUAUUUCCCCAUCUAUUGUGCCUCACUCUGAGGAUCUUGGAAUACUUUUAAUUAUUCAAAAGUUUUACCAAGGUUUCAACAGCAGAGGGAGAAGCCUGCCUUGACAGAACUUUUAAGUCAUCCAUAAUCCCUGCUCUGCCAGACUGCCUGAAGCUGGUCUAGCUGCUCUAGCAGUUGGCAUUGCUGUUGGAGAAGGUGAAGCUAGUGUGGCUAAGCAUUGUGAGGACUCAACACAUAUCCCAGACACCUUCUGUCCUGUGUUGAAUUGAAACUCAUGCUAUUUUUUUUGGUAAGUAUGUGCUUCCAACACUCCUACAAACAAGAAACUUUCCCCAUCCACAUUCAGGCACAGUAAACCCUUCAGAAGAAAGGUCGAAGUCGAAAACCCCAUUGUUAGCUAUAUUGAACCAACUUGUUAAGUGUGACUGGCCAUUACUCUCAAUACUUGUCCUGGUCUUUCAGGGUCGCACUUUUGUUUACCUCCCACAACCUCAUGGCGAUGCAACGCUGAGAGCAGACUCCUCCACCCCAGUUCAUUGAUUGGGAAAGGAGUGUAGGUUCCACAAAGUCUUUCUUCCUUCAGCGCUUCUGAUCCUCUUUUUUGAGGAAGUCUCCUGGAAAUUCCCCAUAUAAAUAGAAAUCCUAUUUAAAAAAAAAAAAGUUAAUUAAAACAGACUUAGAAAAACAACUGCUAAACAUGCCUGCAUUUAUACUUCUUGUAAGUUAAAUUAAAUUAUGUAUUUUUAGCUUGGUUACACAGAGAAAAAAGUGAAUAGUUUUUAAUUCCUUGAAAGCAAUUUUCUGUCAAUUUUGGACAGCCCCUCAGCAAGGCACAGCCUAAAUAACAACCCUUCCUUGGGCCUUUUUUUCAGGUCAUGUCUUCAAGAUCAGUUUACCUAUCCACAUAUACCAACACACUUAUCCAUGUUCAUACCUGCGUAUGUGAGAGUCCAUUAGCUUAUCAAGAUGAAUCUUCAUCAAAAUAAUCAUGAGGCUUGUGUAAGAGACAGGGAAAUGACAGUUCCUCCCAAUCACCUCUAGAAGUUUCCUGCAGAAGUAGCAUAGAGUCAAAGUAGCUUUUCCUGUGUCAUAAAAUGAAAUUAUUGACAAACCUUACAUCCAGGAUGAGUAACAACGAGAUAAAUUUUAGAAAAUAGACAUGGAAAAUGGUUACUUUCUUCAUUCAGGUAAUAUAUAAAUGAGCUUUGUUUGUAGAGAAUCUUAAAGUAACUCUAAGAGCUAUUUAUGGGUAUACAUAUUUCCUUUCCAUUGGGGCAAAUUCUGGGUGGUGAGGAGGAAGAGGGAAAAUAUUCUCUAGUCUAGAAAAUGUAGUCCAGUCUUCUAGACCAUAUUUCUUUAUGCUGAUUACCUACAAAUAUUUUUCUGAUUGGUUAGAUGGAUCCUUUUGGUUAUGUCACACAUGUAUACUGGCUCCAAACUGUUCUGUGGCCUGUUUAAGCAGUGAUAUAGUAGAUUGCCAUAAUGAACUAUACACUGCCAUAGUGCACCAGUUGUAUAGACUGCAUAGUUUUUCACCACAGAGGUUCCCAACCACCGGACUACAGAGGGUUGACUGCCAGGCCAUGGCACAUCAUGUCAUCGGCAGUCACAUGUUGGGUUAAAGCUGGGUGGCAGGGCAGCCCUGGGAAGGAGGCAGCUGGCUCCAUGCACCCUGGCCCCCUCCCACCACCUUGGCUGCACCCAGCGAGGUGCAGGUACCAGAGCCCACACCAGGCCAGGCAGAAUUCCCCAGCCCCACCCGUGGGGGGAUACAGGUGGGGAAAUACACGGGACGGAGGGUGGGGAGGUGGACCAAAAUGUAAUUUUUACAUAUUCAAAUUCAUAUAUUUAAAUAUGUAAUUAGAUCACUUCUAUACUUGAUCUUCCAAAAUUCUUUUGAGUUUGCCUGUUGGCAGUAUAAAAAAGGUUGGGAACCACUGCUUUACCAAACGUGUAAAAAGACUUUGGUGUUGGUAUAAGAUGCCUUAACUUCUGGUAAGAAUCAUCAGUA